rnacentral:lncRNA from 1 species
UUCCCUCGGUCCCCAUUUUCUCGUUCUUUUCUCCCCAUCUGGGUUUUCUCUGUUUUGCUGUGCUGGGGAUGGGAUCUAGCCCUCCCCCACCCCCACCCCAUGCUAGGAAAGUUGGCUUUUUGGUUUUUGUUUUGGGGUUUUUUUUGUUGUUGUUGUUCUGUUUCGUUUUGGUUUGGUUUUAGAGAGGAACUAACUACAUUGCCCAUUGUGAUCUCAAACUCCCGGGCUCAAGGGAUCCUCCUAUGUCAGCUUUCCGAGUAGCUGGGAGCCCAGGCAUGUGCCAUCAUGUCCACAAAAGACCAAAGUGGGUUUUUCUGCACCAAUGAACUAGAAACCAACAAAAGAAAAAGCCCCCAGAUCUCACUACCUUAACUUAAAGGCAUCGGACCAGAUUUUCUUUCGGGUAACUGAUCUUGGGCAUACAUGCUUCUACAGUUAAAAGAGGCGGUAGGAAGCAUCAGUUGCCAGGUGUGGGGACACAUACCUGUAUUCCUCAGCUCAGGAGGCUAAGGCUGAGUCAGGGGGAUCGAAAGUUCAAGGGCAGUCUCAGUGAUUUAGCAAGACCAUAAGGAAUUUAGCGAGACCCUGUCUCUAUAUAAAAAAUAAAAAGGGCUGGGGAUGCAGCUUAGUGGUAGAGUGCCUCCAUGGUUCAAUUUCAAUUUCCACAUACACCCCAAAAAGGGCGGGGUGAGAAAACAAUGGUUAUUACUGGGCUUGGGGUCAGGUUGUGAGCUUGAACCUGGUUCAGCUGCUUCCUCAGUGCCUGGUUUCCUCCCAUGAACUUGGGGCUACGAGGAGUGCCUAAUCCACUGGGUUGCUGUGACAUAAUUUAGAGUAAGCAUGAAACACUCUUAUCAUCUGGCAUUCGAUGACUUUUUCAAGAACACAAGCUGCAGUUGGUGAAAAGCAGAUUAGACAGAGUUUUCUACUCUGGCCAGGCCUGGUGGCUCAUGCCUGUCACCCAGCAGCUUGGGAAGCUGAGGCAGGAGAAUUCAAAGUCCAAAGCCAGACUCUUAGCGACUUAGUGAGGCCCUAAGCAACUUAGAGUGACCCUGUUUCAAAAUUAAAAAAAAAUAAAAGUUGGGGUUGUGGCUCAGUGGUAAAGCACCCUGGUUCAAUCCCCAGUACAAAAAAAAAGAAAUUUCUACUAUGCCUAUUCUCACUUUAUAUCCCAUAAUAAGUACUGUCUGCAUUGCUUUUUCCUCCUUAGGCCUGCUCUUUUCUGCAGUCCCCAGGCUGAGGCUGGGACCCCAUGCAGCACUGGGGUCCUAUUGAACAGUCCCUGUUUUACAUGGCCGCAUAAUAUUCCACUGAGUGGCUCUUCCUGACUGAGCUGACCCUGCCACAGGCUUAGAGUUAAACAGCUUCCACUUUUGCACUUUAUAAACAGCAUUGCCACCUCCUCCCCCACAAAACACACACUGC